UACUGGGGGGGUAAGCGUUGUUCGGAAUUACUGGGCGUAAAGGGCUCGUAGGCGGCCAACUAAGUCGGACGUGAAAUCCCUCAGCUUAACUGGGGAACUGCGUCCGAUACUGGAUGGCUUGGAUUUGGGAGAGGGAUGCGGAAUUCCAGGUGUAGCGGUGAAAUGCGUAGAUAUCGAGAGGAACACCUGCGGCGAAGGCGGGUAGCUGGGCCGACACUGACGCUGAUGCGCGAAAGCCAGGGGAGCGAACGGG
rnacentral:rRNA from 1 species